rnacentral:rRNA from 1 species
GAUCAGUCGGCUCAAGGACGAACGCUGGCGGCGUGCCUAACACAUGCAAGUCGAACGGAGCAGAGACUUCGGUUUUUGCUUAGUGGCGAACGGGUGAGUAACGCGUGAGAAACCUGCCUUUCAGUGGGGGACAACAGUUGGAAACGACUGCUAAUACCGCAUAAUGUAACGAGAUCGCAUGGUCUUGUUACCAAAGCUUUAUGUGCUGAAAGAUGGUCUCGCGUCUGAUUAGAUAGUUGGUGAGGUAACGGCUCACCAAGUCGACGAUCAGUAGCCGGACUGAGAGGUUGGACGGCCACAUUGGGACUGAGACACGGCCCAGACUCCUACGGGAGGCAGCAGUGGGGAAUAUUGCACAAUGGGCGCAAGCCUGAUGCAGCGAUGCCGCGUGAGGGAAGAAGGUUUUAGGAUUGUAAACCUCUGUCUUCAGGGACGAUAAUGACGGUACCUGAGGAGGAAGCUCCGGCUAACUACGUG